rfam:Camelus ferus unplaced genomic scaffold scaffold531, whole genome shotgun sequence.
GGGGGUAUAGCUCAGUGGUACAGCAUGCGCUUGGUGUGUGUGAGAUCCUGGGUUCAAUCCCCAGUGCCUCUG